rnacentral:rRNA from 1 species
AAACCAACAGGGAUUGCCUUAGUAGCGGCGAGUGAAGCGGCAAUAGCUCAAAUUUGAAAUCUGGCACCUUCGGUGUCCGAGUUGUAAUUUGAAGAAGGUAUCUUUGGUUUUGGCUCUUGUCUAUGUUCCUUGGAACAGGACGUCACAGAGGGUGAGAAUCCCGUGCGAUGAGAUGCCCAAUUCCAUGUAAAGUUCCUUCGACGAGUCGAGUUGUUUGGGAAUGCAGCUCUAAGUGGGUGGUAAAUUCCAUCUAAAGCUAAAUAUUGGCGAGAGACCGAUAGCGAACAAGUACUGUGAAGGAAAGAUGAAAAGAACUUUGAAAAGAGAGUGAAAAAGUACGUGAAAUUGUUGAAAGGGAAGGGCUUGAGAUCAGACUUGGAAUUUUCCAUUACAUGGAGCUUUCCGGGCCAGCAUCAGGGAUGGCAGGAUAAUUGCGAUGGAAAGUAGCUCUGCUUCGGUGGAGUAUUAUAGCCUUCGUCGAUACUGCCUGUCUAGACUGAGGACUGCGUCUUUGACUAGGAUGCUGGCAUAAUGAUCUUAAGCCGC